CCAAUAGCGUAUAUUAAAGUUGUUGCAGUUAAAAAGCUCGUAGUUGAAUUUCGGGGUCAGCAGGUUGGUCGUGCCAAUGGUAUGCACUGGCCUUGCUGAUUCCUCCCUCUUGAUGAGCCGUAAUGCCAUUAAUUUGGUGUUGCGGGGAAUCAGGACUGUUACUUUGAAAAAAUUAGAGUGUUUAAAGCAGGCAAGCGCUUGAAUACAUUAGCAUGGAAUAAUGAAAUAGGACGUUCGAUCCUAUUUUGUUGGUUUCUAGGAUUGACGCAAUGAUUAAUAGGGAUAGUUGGGGGCAUUAGUAUUCAAUUGUCAGAGGUGAAAUUCUUGGAUUUAUUGAAGACUAGCUACUGCGAAAGCAUUUGCCAAGGAUGUUUUCAUUAAUCAAGAACGAAAGUUAGGGGAUCGAAGACGAUCAGAUACCGUCGUAGUCUUAACCAUGAACUAUGCCGACUAGGGAUCGGAUGAUGUUAAUUUUUUAAUGACUCAUUCGGCGCCUUAC
rnacentral:rRNA from 1 species